rnacentral:lncRNA from 13 species
AAUUGAAUCAUGGGGGCAGAGCGUUCCUGUGCUGCGCUUGUGGUAGUGAAUAAGUCUCGCGAGAUCUGAUGGUUAUAAAAGUGAGCGUUCCUCCAUAGAGGCGCUCGCUCGCCUGCCGCUGUGUAAGACGUCUCUUUGCUCUUCUGCCUUAAUUGUGAGGCCUUCUCAGCCGUGUGGAACUGUCAGUGGGCCUCAAAGGCAACAAUACAUCAGUACUGUCUGAAGAACUUCUCAAAUACGUGCUCCUUUCUAGGAUCCAGACACAGGAUAAGAAUUGGACUAUCAAAACGACCUAAAAUGUCAAAGAAUUACUCAUAAGAGACAUGGUAGGGAGAAGAUGUUCAUGUCCUAAUCCUCAGAACCUAUGAAAAAGUUACAUGGAAAGUGAAGAAUUAAAGUUACAGGCUGAUGGGCUACUUAGGCCUGAUGGUGCUCAAGCAAAGAUGCAGAGGCAAGCAGAAAGUUGCAGGGCUCUUAUGGCAUCGUCUCAGAAUCAAUGCUUCUGGUUAAUAUCCUAUAGGACAACAAAACCAUCGCCUUACAGGUUUUUCUUUUCUGCCAGAGACAUUUGCAUCUAUUGACAAAAAUCUACAACUUAAAGGCUAAUGGCAUAUAUCUAGGAUUUUAAUCGAUAGUAGAUUGAAUAUCAAAGGAACAUUCCCAUGGAAUUUAAAUUAUUCCUAGGUGAAUCUUUAAAGAUGUAAUUGCUACUUUUCCUUUGUCUUAUUUAUUGUUGUGGAUUUUUUUUUAAGAUUGGAUGAAAAUAAUUAAAAAGAAUCAACCAAAAUGCUGUUGUGCACAUUACUGUUCUGAAAUAUUUAAUGGCCUAGAAUAUAUUAGGGCAAGAAUGUCAGCUCAUUACUACUGGCCAAAUAAUUUCUGCUUUGCUUAAGUUUCGUGGAGUGGGAGCAUCCAAGAGACAACAGAAAAUUUCAAAUUGACUGCCCCAUUUAUUUGGAGAUAAGACAUAAUAUUAAAUUAAAAUGUAUAAAUAAUAGGGCUUAUGGAGUUUUUAAAAAUAGUUCACAUGCAAAUUUAUCUUUAAUGAUAAUAUAUUUUGAUGUACUUUUUUUCUAAAGAUUUUGUUGUAUGUCAGCUGACAUCAAGUGGUUAGGAUAAAUACAAUUUUUAUAGUAGUUUAUUAAUUUAGAUGAUUCAUUCUGAUAUGCUUUGUCAGAAAUUUCAUUGCACUGCAUUCACCCUUUUAAAUAUUUAAUUGUCAAGUGCAGAAUACUUAUGCAGAAGAAACAAAUAUUAAUUGAUUCAUAUAGCAAAUAUUGAUUGAUUUCUUGCUCUGUGCCAAGUACUCUUCUAGGAACUGGGUAUAACACAGUGUGGACCAAAAAGGAAAAUAUCCUUACCUAUGUGAACUGAAUUUACAUUUUAUCUAGAAUGGACAAUAAAAUAAGACAUAUGUGUAAACA